rnacentral:misc_RNA from 1 species
CCUCUGCUUCUGUUAAGCCAGCACUUACACAUUUAGAAGAUUGUUCAGUGGCAUCAGAAUGAACUUCUCCCUCAUUAGCUUGGUCACCACCCUCUGAAGGAACAGGCACUGCAGCAGCAGCAGCAGCUUCCUUGGUAGUUCUUAGUUCUGAUAAAGGGUGACUUGCAGCAAAAGCCUUAAAUCGAGCGAAAUAAUCAUCCAACCGUUUACUAGGAAUCUCUAAUAUCCUUGUGUAAAUCAUGGCAACAUGGCCCCACUGUGCA